GAAUUCGCCCUUAGAGUUUGAUCCUGGCUCAGGACGAACGCUGGCGGCGUGCCUAACACAUGCAAGUCGAACGGAGAUGUUUAUUUCGGUAGAUAUCUUAGUGGCGCACGGGUGAGUAACGCGUGAAUAACCUGACCCGAAGAGGGGGAUAACACCUGGAAACAAGUGCUAAUACCGCAUAAGACCACGGACCGGCAUCGGUCAGAGGUCAAAGGAGGAAUCCGCUUUGGGAGGGGUUCGCGUCCCAUUAGGUAGUUGGUGAGGUAACGGCCCACCAAGCCGACGAUGGGUAGCCGAGCUGAGAGGCUGAUCGGCCACACUGGAACUGAGACACGGUCCAGACUCCUACGGGAGGCAGCAGUGGGGAAUAUUGGGCAAUGGGCGCAAGCCUGACCCAGCAACGCCGCGUGAGGGAAGAAGGUUUUCGGAUUGUAAACCUCUGUCGCAGGGGACGAAGGAAGUGACGGUACCCUGUAAGAAAGCCCCGGCUAACUACGUGCCAGCAGCCGCGGUAAUACGUAGGGGGCGAGCGUUGUCCGGAAUUACUGGGCGUAAAGGGAGCGUAGGCGGUCGAUUAAGUUAGAUGUGAAACCCCCGGGCUUAACUUGGGGACUGCAUCUAAUACUGGUUGACUUAGAGUACAGGAGAGGGAAGCGGAAUUCCUAGUGUAGCGGUGAAAUGCGUAGAUAUUAGGAGGAACACCAGUGGCGAAGGCGGCUUUCUGGACUGACACUGACGCUGAGGCUCGAAAGCGUGGGGAGCAAACAGGAUUAGAUACCCUGGUAGUCCACGCUGUAAACGAUGAAUACUAGGUGUAGGGGGUAUCAACUCCCUCUGUGCCGCAGCAAACGCAAUAAGUAUUCCGCCUGGGGAGUACGGCCGCAAGGUUGAAACUCAAAGGAAUUGACGGGGGCCCGCACAAGCAGCGGAGCAUGUGGUUUAAUUCGAAGCAACGCGAAGAACCUUACCAAGUCUUGACAUCCUUCUGACCGGUACUUAACCGUACCUUCUCUUCGGAGCAGGAGUGACAGGUGGUGCAUGGUUGUCGUCAGCUCGUGUCGUGAGAUGUUGGGUUAAGUCCCGCAACGAGCGCAACCCCUAUCUUUAGUAGCCAGCGGUUUGGCCGGGCACUCUAGAGAGACUGCCAGGGAUAACCUGGAGGAAGGUGGGGAUGACGUCAAAUCAUCAUGCCCCUUAUGAGCAGGGCUACACACGUGCUACAAUGGCGUAAGCAAAGGGAGGCAGAACCGCGAGGUCGAGCAAAUCCCAAAAAUAACGUCUCAGUUCGGAUUGUAGUCUGCAACUCGACUACAUGAAGCUGGAAUCGCUAGUAAUCGCGAAUCAGAAUGUCGCGGUGAAUACGUUCCCGGGUCUUGCACUCACCGCCCGUCA
rnacentral:rRNA from 1 species